rnacentral:rRNA from 1 species
GACGAACGCUGGCGGCGUGCUUAACACAUGCAAGUCGAACGGAAAGGCCCUGCUUUUGUGGGGUGCUCGAGUGGCGAACGGGUGAGUAACACGUGAGUAACCUGCCCUUGACUUUGGGAUAACUUCAGGAAACUGGGGCUAAUACCGGAUAGGAGCUCCUGCUGCAUGGUGGGGGUUGGAAAGUUUCGGCGGUUGGGGAUGGACUCGCGGCUUAUCAGCUUGUUGGUGGGGUAGUGGCUUACCAAGGCUUUGACGGGUAGCCGGCCUGAGAGGGUGACCGGCCACAUUGGGACUGAGAUACGGCCCAGACUCCUACGGGAGACAGCAGUGGGGAAUAUUGCACAAUGGGCGGACGCCUGAUGCAGCAACGCCGCGUGCGGGAUGACGGCCUUCGGGUUGUAAACCGCUUUCGCCUGUGACGAAGCGUGAGUGACGGUAAUGGGUAAAGAAGCACCGGCUAACUACGUG